rnacentral:rRNA from 1 species
UGCGUAGGCGGGACGUUAAGUUAGUCGUUAAAUCGCGGGGCUCAACCUCGCAAUAGCGAUUGAUACUGGCGACCUGGAGAUUAGAUGCAGAGGGCGGAAUGUGUAGUGUAGCGGUGAAAUGCUUAGAUAUUACACAGAACACCGAUUGCGAAGGCAGCUCUCUAAUCUACAUCUGACGCUCAGGCACGAAAGCGUGGGGAUCAAACAGGAUUAGAUACCCUGGUAGUCCACGCCGUAAACGAUGAUAACUCGUUGUCGGGCGAUAUACUGCUCGGUGACCAAGCGAAAGCGAUAAGUUAUCCACCUGGGGAGUACGUUCGCAAGAAUGAA